rnacentral:rRNA from 1 species
GUCUACGGCCAUACCACCCUGAACGCACCCGAGCUCGUCUGAUCUCGGAAGCUAAGCAGGGUCGGGCCUGGUUAGUACUUGGAUGGGAAAGUGCAUAACAUAUGGUAGGUU